AUCCAGCUGACGAGUCCCAAAUAGGACGAAACGCGCGUCGUGUAA
rnacentral:hammerhead_ribozyme from 1 species